rnacentral:rRNA from 1 species
AACGAACGCUGGCGGCAUGCCUAACACAUGCAAGUCGAACGAGACCUUCGGGUCUAGUGGCGCACGGGUGCGUAACGCGUGGGAACCUGCCCUUAGGUUCGGAAUAACUCCCCGAAAGGGGUGCUAAUACCGGAUAAUGUCUUCGGACCAAAGAUUUAUCGCCUUUGGAUGGGCCCGCGUUGGAUAGCUAGUUGGUAGGGUAAAAGCCUACCAAGGCGACGAUCCAUAGCUGGUCUGAGAGGAUGAUCAGCCACACUGGGACUGAGACACGGCCCAGACUCCUACGGGAGGCAGCAGUGGGGAAUAUUGGACAAUGGGCGAAAGCCUGAUCCAGCAAGGCCGCGUGAGUGAUGAAGGCCUUAGGGUUGUAAAGCUCUUUUACCCGGGAUGAUAAUGACAGUACCGGGAGAAUAAGCUCCGGCUAACUCCGUG